rnacentral:rRNA from 1 species
AAUGAACGCUGGCGGCAUGCCUAACACAUGCAAGUCGAACGAGACCUUCGGGUCUAGUGGCGCACGGGUGCGUAACGCGUGGGAACCUGCCCUUAGGUUCGGCAUAACUCUCCGACAGGGGUGCUAAUACCGGAUAAUGUCUUCGGACCAAUGAUUUAUCGCCUUUGGAUGGGCCAGCGUUGGAUUCGCUAGUUGGUAGGGUAAAAGCAUACCAAGGCGACGAUCCAUAGCUGGUCUGAGAGGAUGAUCAGCCACACUGGGACUGAGACACGGCCCAGACUCCUACGGGAGGCAGCAGUGGGGAAUAUUGGACAAUGGGCGAAAGCCUGAUCCAGCAAUGCCGCGUGAGUGAUGAAGGCCGUAGGGUUGUAAAGCUCUUUUACCCGGGAUGAUAAUGACAGUACCGGGAGAAUAAGCUCCGGCUAACUCCGUG